rnacentral:rRNA from 1 species
GCAUGUUCACAUGAUUAAAGGUAUUCCGGUAGACGAUGGGGAUGUGUUCCAUUAGAUAGUAGGCGGGGUAACGGCCCACCUAGUCUUCGAUGGAUAGGGGUUCUGAGAGGAAGGUCCCCCACAUUGGAACUGAGACACGGUCCAAACUCCUACGGGAGGCAGCAGUGAGGAAUAUUGGUCAAUGGGCGAGAGCCUGAACCAGCCAAGUAGCGUGAAGGAUGACUGCCCUAUGGGUUGUAAACUUCUUUUAUAAAGGAAUAAAGUCGGGUAUGCAUACCCGUUUGCAUGUACUUUAUGAAUAAGGAUCGGCUAACUCCGUGCCAGCAGCCGCGGUAAUACGGAGGAUCCGAGCGUUAUCCGGAUUUAUUGGGUUUAAAGGGAGCGUAGAUGGAUGUUUAAGUCAGUUGUGAAAGUUUGCGGCUCAACCGUAAAAUUGCAGUUGAUACUGGAUAUCUUGAGUGCAGUUGAGGCAGGCGGAAUUCGUGGUGUAGCGGUGAAAUGCUUAGAUAUCACGAAGAACUCCGAUUGCGAAGGCAGCCUGCUAAGCUGCAACUGACAUUGAGGCUCGAAAGUGUGGGUAUCAAACAGGAUUAGAUACCCUGGUAGUCCACACGGUAAACGAUGAAUACUCGCUGUUUGCGAUAUACGGCAAGCGGCC